AAGAAAAUAAUGAAAUAACCCUGAAAUCAGAACUCAUCAGAGUACAUUCUGUAGCUCAUGCAAUUUUGGAUUGAGACCCAAAGAUUUACAAUAGGAGAAGAGGCAAGCGGAGGAUGAAAGGAGAAAUGUGAACCAACUCUCAGAUAUGCUUUUACUUGGUUUUCAAUGUUUCAGAACAGCACAAUGAAGACGAUUGUUAUGCCAGCUAACAAAAAUGACAGGACAAAGAAGCAUACAUUGAAAUUAAAAUGAAAAUUCAGAACAGAUGUCAGGAAAUAUUUUUCAUGUUGAAUGUGCAGAUAUCCAACCAGAGCAACCAGACCACAACACUGGACCAUGUGGGUGGCCUCCUGCAGCUAUACAUAUGACACUACUGAAUGGGAAGGGUCUAUGAAAUUACUAACUGAUUUGCCCACUGCAUAACAUAGCUAGUCUUUCCCCGGAACCUGACAAACUGUGGUGGGACAUCUUUAAGGCUGCGAUUCUCAAAUUCAGAAGAGGAAAGUUUGAAAAUGGCCCAGCUAUUUUCAGAUAUGCAAGCAGCCAUAUCUUAAAAGUCUGCUCUUAUAAAGAGGGGCCAGUGCAUACUGUGUGCAUAUAUGUUUUAAACACACCAGUAAAUUUAAUGAAUUUAUAUAGUCUUCUUUACAGAGUGUUUCAUUUAUUUUUUGUACAGGUCAUUUGUGGAAUUAAGGAUGUAAAUAGAGAGGUGUCUGAUUCCAGUUUUCAGCACUCCAAUCUGUGCAAGCAUCCUUCAAA